AUGCUUCUCCUAAAGACUAAGCCAUGCAUGCCCUGAAUAAGAGGAAGCAAUUCUCUCUGAAUCUGCGAACGGCUCCGCAAACCAGUUGUAAACUAGAGCAAGCAAGUCUGGCGGGCUUCGGCCUCCAGACGAUAUGGAUAACCCUGGUAAUUCUGAGGCUAAUACAUGACCGCAAAACCGGGCAGCCCAGCAAUGGAUGCUCGGGGAUGUGCGAUAUGGCUUGACAAUAACCGGGAAGACG
rnacentral:rRNA from 1 species